rnacentral:rRNA from 2 species
CUAGCUGGUCUGAGAGGAUGACCAGCCACACUGGAACUGAGACACGGUCCAGACUCCUACGGGAGGCAGCAGUGGGGAAUAUUGCACAAUGGGCGCAAGCCUGAUGCAGCCAUGCCGCGUGUAUGAAGAAGGCCUUCGGGUUGUAAAGUACUUUCAGCGGGGAGGAAGGUGUUGUGGUUAAUAACCGCAGCAAUUGACGUUACCCGCAGAAGAAGCACCGGCUAACUCCGUGCCAGCAGCCGCGGUAAUACGGAGGGUGCAAGCGUUAAUCGGAAUUACUGGGCGUAAAGCGCACGCAGGCGGUCUGUCAAGUCGGAUGUGAAAUCCCCGGGCUCAACCUGGGAACUGCAUUCGAAACUGGCAGGCUUGAGUCUUGUAGAGGGGGGUAGAAUUCCAGGUGUAGCGGUGAAAUGCGUAGAGAUCUGGA